GAUGAACGCUGGCGGCGUGCUUAGCACAUGCAAGUCGAACGGAAAGGCCCAAGCUUGCUUGGGUACUCGAGUGGCGAACGGGUGAGUAACACGUGGGUGAUCUGCCCUGCACUUCGGGAUAAGCCUGGGAAACUGGGUCUAAUACCGGAUAGGACGAUGGUUUGGAUGCCAUUGUGGAAAGUUUUUUCGGUGUGGGAUGAGCUCGCGGCCUAUCAGCUUGUUGGUGGGGUAAUGGCCUACCAAGGCGUCGACGGGUAGCCGGCCUGAGAGGGUGUACGGCCACAUUGGGACUGAGAUACGGCCCAGACUCCUACGGGAGGCAGCAAUGGGGAAUAUUGCACAAUGGGCGCAAGCCUGAUGCAGCGACGCCGCGUGGGGGAUGACGGCCUUCGGGUUGUAAACUCCUUUCGCUAGGGACGAAGCGUUUUUGUGACGGUACCUGGAGAAGAAGCACCGGCUAACUACGUG
rnacentral:rRNA from 1 species